GAUGAACGCUGGCGGCGUGCCUAAUACAUGCAAGUCGAGCGAACAGAUGAGGAGCUUGCUCCUCUGACGUUAGCGGCGGACGGGUGAGUCACACGUGGAUAACCUCCCUAUAAGACUGGGAUAACUUCGGGAAACCGGAGCUAAUCCCGUAUAAUCUAUUGAACCGCAUGGUUCAAUAGUGAAAGACGGUUUUGCUGUCACUUAUAGAUGGAUCCGCGCCGCAUUAGCUAGUUGGUAAGUUAACGGCUUACCAAGGCAACGAUGCGUAGCCGACCUGAGAGGGUGAUCGGCCACACUGGAACUGAGACACGGUCCAGACGCCUACGGGAGGCAGCAGUAGGGAAUCUUCCGCAAUGGGCGAAAGCCUGACGGAGCAACGCCGCGUGAGUGAUGAAGGUCUUCGGAUCGUAAAACUCUGUUAUUAGGGAAGAACAAAUGUGUAAGUAACCAUGCACGUAUUGACGGUACCUAAUCAGAAAGCCACGGCUAACUACGUG
rnacentral:rRNA from 1 species